rnacentral:lncRNA from 1 species
GAACUUCCCUUGCGGCCUGUGGUUGGAGACAAAUAGCUGUGCUGGCUCCGUUGGCAGAGUUGGUGUUGGUUUUGGUGCCCCAACCUCCUUUUUCUGGAAUCUGCCCCAUAUUCAGUCCCCAGAUGGAAGUAAGCUGAUACUCAGAUGAUGAAACUGAGGUCUGGAGACCGAGUUGCCCAGAGUCACACAACUGUCAGUAGUCAUGGAGGAAUUAGCUUUGAAAUGCAGAUGUGUCUGAUUUUGAGCAAUUUUUAUUCUGUGAUGGAGCGCAGCCUCAAAAUAGAACAGAAUGCUCAACUACCUCAUAUAGAAUGUGAGAAAUAACCCAAGAAGUAGAAAGAAUGAGAGGGAGCUGGAAUGAACCAUCAUGGCUGGAGGUUCAGUAGAAGGUUGCUGGCCCUGGGAGCAAGGCCCAGGACCCAAGGAAGAAGGGUUGGCUGGAGCCAUAGGAAGAAGGGAUGCAGCCAGAACAGCACCGCAGCUGACUGAGGCAGGUGCAGAAGAAGCUCAGGCCCGGGCAGGAAAGGACCUCGCUUACUUGUUUAGAACGUUACACAAAAUGCAAUGCACCAUCAAUUCUUGGGUCAUCCCCUCCCUCUGCAUUCUUUUUAGCAAAAGGAGUUAUUAUUUCCACUUUCUAUGAAAACAUUCAUUUCUUCAAAAUCAGAUAUCCUAGAUCUAGAAGAAAAAAGUGGGUAAAAUGAACCAGCUGUACAGUUCAAAGGAAAAUAUAGUGAUGCGCUCU